rnacentral:piRNA from 1 species
UCAACCACCAUUUUUUGGAAG